rnacentral:rRNA from 1 species
UACGGAAGGCAGCAGUGGGGAAUAUUGCACAAUGGGCGCAAGCCUGAUGCAGCCAUGCCGCGUGUAUGAAGAAGGCCUUCGGGUUGUAAAGUACUUUCAGUCGUGAGGAAGGUGUUAAGGUUAAUAACCUUAGCAAUUGACGUUAGCGACAGAAGAAGCACCGGCUAACUCCGUGCCAGCAGCCGCGGUAAUACGGAGGGUGCGAGCGUUAAUCGGAAUUACUGGGCGUAAAGGGCACGCAGGCGGUUAAUUAAGUUGGAUGUGAAAUCCCCGGGCUUAACCUGGGAAUGGCAUUCAAGACUGGUUAGCUAGAGUCUUGUAGAGGGGGUAGAAUUCCAUGUGUAGCGGUGAAAUGCGUAGAGAUGUGGAGGAAUACCGGUGGCGAAGGCGGCCCCUGGACAAAGACUGACGCUCACGUGCGAAAGCGUGGGGAGCAAACAGGGAUUAGAUACC